GCUACGGGAGGCAGCAGCGGGGAAUAAUGCACAACAGGGGAAAACCCCACGCAGCAACGCCGCGGGAGAGGAGAAGACCUUUGGGGUGUAAAACUCUUCCUGGGCGGAGGAAGAAAUGACGGACCGNGGAGAACGCCCNNGACG
rnacentral:rRNA from 1 species